rnacentral:rRNA from 1 species
GAUGAACGCUGGCGGCGUGCCUAAUACAUGCAAGUCGAGCGAAUGGAUUGAGAGCUUGCUCUUAUGAAGUUAGCGGCGGACGGGUGAGUAACACGUGGGUAACCUGCCCAUAAGACUGGGAUAACUCCGGGAAACCGGGGCUAAUACCGGAUAACAUUUUGAACCGCAUGGUUCGAAAUUGAAAGGCGGCUUCGGCUGUCACUUAUGGAUGGACCCGCGUCGCAUUAGCUAGUUGGUGAGGUAACGGCUCACCAGGGCAACGAUGCGUAGCCGACCUGAGAGGGUGGUCGGCCAGACGGGGACUGAGACACGGCCCAGACUCCAACGGGAGGCAGCAGUAGGGAAUCUUCCGCAAUGGACGAAAGUCUGACGGAGCAACGGCGCGUGAGUGAUGAAGGCUUUCGGGUCGUAAAACUCUGUUGUUAGGGAAGAACAAGUGCUAGUUGAAUAAGCUGGCACCUUGACGGUACCUAACCAGAAAGCCACGGCUAACUACGUGCCAGCCGCCGCCGUAA